AUUUUAUGGAUCAGGAAACAGGUUCAGCAAGGUAACUUGUCCUUGAGUGAUGCAAUGAACAUUUGUCAUUCUUUUGGUGACUGUUGUCAUGUUUGGGAAAUACUCUACAUUAAGAAGCCAGACUACCUCCUGCUAUGAAAGCUGAAGAGGCCAGAUACUUCUUUUGCCAGAAUCCCUUGCAGCGAGGGUGAGGGACAUGACCUGGACUUCUGCUAAUCAGACUGAUCAGACACUCCUGCCAUGGACUUUGGAUCUAAAAAUGCUUCUAGAUGAGGCUGAGUCAUCCAAGGACUCUACCAAGUGCUGUGGAAUCUUGGAGAAAGUAGAGUUGUCUCCAACUAGCCAGAGUUUCGCCCUGUUGUCCAGGCUGGUCUCAAACUCCUGGAUUCAAGUGAGCCACCCACCUUGGCCUCCCAAAGUGCUGGGAUUACAGAUAUGAGCCACUGAGCCCAGCCAAGGCCACAGUAUCUUAAUCUCUAGCCAUUUGCUUUAACACCUACAUGAAUGUCAAGCAACUGGUAAUGUGGUCUUAACCCUAAGCAGAUGGACCAAACCCUGAAAAAUGGAGAAGCAACAAAUAAAAGUGUCAUGCAAUUAUUGACCAUGGAAUAAAUAUACAGAAGACCAAGAGAAAUUCAGAAAUCAUAAAGCAUCGAUAUUGCACUCCAGCCUGGGCAACAAGAAUGAAACAUCAUCUCAAAAAAACAAAAGUUUACUCUUUUAUCUCAAAAGUUUAUUGUACGAUGUAAAUCUUCAGCUUUGGCAAAAUACUAUUUUAAACACUC
rnacentral:lncRNA from 1 species